ACUAAGUUGGCAGACUUAUGCAGUUGACUUAGAAUCAACAGAAAUAGGUGAAAGCCCUUUACUUAGUA
rnacentral:tRNA from 1 species